AUUGAACGCUGGCGGCAGGCCUAACAAAUGCAAGUCGAGCGAGCGGCGGAAGGGUGAGUAAUGUCUGGGAAACUGCCUGAUGGAGGGGGAUAACUACUGGAAACGGUAGCUAAUACCGCAUCCCAUCAAGUGUGCCCAGAUGGGAUAAUCUGGUAGGUGGGGUAACGGCUCACCUAGUGGACGAUCCCUACCUGGUCUGAGAGGAGGCCCAGCCACACUGGAACUGAGACACGGUCCAGACUCCUCCGGUAGGCAGCGGGGGGGAAUAUUGCACAAUAGGCGCAAGCCUGAUGCAGCCUUGCCGCGUGUGGGAAGAAGGCCUUCGGGUUGUAAAGCACUUUCAGCGGGGAGGCGUUACCCGCAGAUGAAGCACCGGCUAACUCCGUGCCAGCAGCGCGGUAAUAC
rnacentral:rRNA from 1 species